UUAGUUGGUGGAGUGAUUUGUCUGGUUAAUUCCGUUAACGAACGAGAUCUUAACCUGCUAAAUAGUGGCGCGUUUCUCCGGAAAUGCGUGUCACUUCUUAGAGGGACUUUGACGCCUAAGCGCAAGGAAGUUUGAGGCAAUAACAGGUCU
rnacentral:rRNA from 1 species